CUGGCUCCAGGGGCGGGUGUGAUGCCGGGGCACACCUCCCUCCUGCCCCCUUCUCUAAACCAAUAGGGAGCCACCCAUGCCCCAAGGUGAGCCAAUGGGAAACCAGCUCUCUCCGCCGGCGCCGGGGAAAUGAGCGCCACCGCGGCAGACCCACCAGCCGGAAGAAGGAGGUCGGAAUGUCUGGAAAAAGGAUCAACGGGUUUGGCUUGGUAGCGAGGGAGGUUACCUAAAAUAAAAUUAUAAUCUCUCUGUCAGAAACCGAAAGCCUGCCGGCCCCCGCGCAGCACAUCCAAGUCUCCCGCGUGGUCUGGGGGAGGGGGAAGGGCCCAACGGUCGCGGAAGUUCCCAGUCUACGUGGUGGAAUUAUCCUUUCUAAGGCCGAAUUUCAGCGGUUGACUUUGUUUUGCCUCCGUCUUCCCCUAACCUGCGCACGUUUAUUGCACCCGUCUCGCUUCCAACUGUAGUAAAAGUUGCAGCUACAAAACUCUUUCUGUUAUAUGCAGUUCUUCUCGAGACCCUUCGUAGAGGCGCUAAAUUGUGAGGUUCAGGCUCUCAGUUGUGAGGUUCAGGCUUUUAAAUAGCUCUUCUGCUUUGUGUUCCCCGACUGCUUUCUUGAAUUCUGUUUUUCAGUUUGGCACAGUAUAUCC
rnacentral:lncRNA from 1 species